rnacentral:tRNA from 2 species
UGUCCCAUGGUGUAAUGGCAGCACAAGUGAUUUUGGUUCACUUUGUUCAGGUUCGAGUCCUGAUGGGACAACCA